rnacentral:rRNA from 1 species
UACGGAGGGUGCAAGCGUUAUCCGGAUUUACUGGGUUUAAAGGGUGUGUAGGCGGACUUUUAAGUCAGCGGUGAAAUCUCCGGGCUCAACCCGGAAACUGCCAUUGAUACUAUUAGUCUUGAAUAUUGUUGAGGUAGGCGGAACGGGUCAUGUAGCGGUGAAAUGCAUAGAUAUGACCCGGAACACCGAUUGCGAAGGCAGCCUACUAAGCAAUUAUUGACGCUGAGGCACGAAAGCGUGGGGAUCAAACAGGAGUUAGAAUGACCC